rnacentral:misc_RNA from 1 species
GACGUAGGGCGCAAGCGUUGUCCGGAUUUAUUGGGCGUAAAGAGCUCGUAGGCGGCUUGUCGCGUCGUCCGUGAAAGUCUGCAGCUUAACUGUGGGUUUGCGGUUGAUACGGGCAGGCUGGAGGUCGGUAGGGGAGACUGGAAUUCCUGGUGUAGCGGUGAAAUGCGCAGACAUCAGGAGGAACACCGGUGGCGAAGGCGGGUCUCUGGGCCGAUACUGACGCUGAGGAGCGAAAGCAUGGGGAGCGAACAGG